ensembl:lncRNA
CAUCUGGCAUAUUACUGGAAAUGGCCAAAAAAGAAUCGGCACGUAAACCAGAAGGUUAGCAUAAUUUAGCCGCGUUGCCGACAGAAAAUCUAUAGUCAUUUGGGGUUUUGGCGGUGCCAAGCAGGCUCGCAUUGAUUAACGAUGUGUGUGUGUGUGUGUGUGUGUGUGUGUGUGUGUGUGUGUGUGUGUGUGUGUGUGUGUGUGUGUGUGUGUGUGUGUGUGUGUGUGUGUGUGUGUGUGUGUGUGUGUGUCUGUGUCUGUGUGCAUGUGUGUGUGUGUGUGUGUGUGUGUGUGUGUGUGUGGUUUUGGUAGAUUUACGGUAGACUCAGCGAUAGGGCAAAAAGAGAGAGAGGGCGAGAGACAUAGGAAGGCAGAGCAAAGAGAGAGAGGCUGAUUGAAAUGAGACCUUGAACUUACAGACAGCAGAGCAACAAACGGAGGAAAUGAACCGCAUGACAUGACAAACACACGGGGGGAGAGCACGAUAAGAAAACCAACGAAAACAACCUGGAAAGGGUUAAGUGACCAACAGACUGGCACAGCACCGAGACAUGGCAUGGCACAGUCUAAAUAGGGGGGCGGGAUAGCUCCAGAGAGAGGGCGAGAGAGAGCGCCAGAGAGAGGGCGAGAGAGGGCGAGAGAGAGAGGGCGAGAGAGGGCAAGAGAGAGCGCCAGAGCGAGGGCGAGAGAGAGCGCCAGAGAGAGGGCGAGAGUGGGCAAGAGAGAGCGCCAGAGCGAGGGCGAGAGAGGGCAAGAGAGAGCGCCAGAGCGAGGGCGAGAGAGGGCGAGAGAGAGCGCCAGAGCGAGGGCGAGAGAGAGCGCCAGAGAGAGGGCGAGAGAGGGCAAGAGAGAGCACGAGGGCGAGGGCGAGAGAGAGCGCCAGAGAGAGGGCGAGAGAGGGCAAGAGAGAGCGCCAGAGCGAGGGCGAGAGAGGGCGAGAGAGAGAGGGCGAGAGUGGGCAAGAGAGAGCGCCAGAGAGGGGGCGAGAGAGGGCAAGAGAGAGCGCCAGAGAGGGGGCGAGAGAGGGCAAGAGAGAGCGCCAGAGAGGGGGCAAGAGAGGGCAAGAGAGAGCGCCAGAGAGGGGGCGAGAGAGGGCGAGAGAGAGCGCCAGAGCGAGGACGAGAGAGGGCGAGAGAGAGAGCGAGCGAGCCGGAGCAUCAUGAAGGGUUACAGAAGACUGAACACACAAACGGCAAACCCACACAUUCAUCAUCAAAAAAUGCACACACACUAUAUGCUCACGCACGCACACACACAUAUUCGCCAACCAAACACACAUACACGGUCAGAAACAGACACACACAGACACACAGAGGUGUGCGAGCUUGGAGGCAGUAUCUUCCCAUCAGGGCUCCCUGGAGUGAUGUGGCCCAGACAUCCAGCAGGAGCCAUCGCUGCCAUCAGCCCCUCAUCCCGUUGUCACGGGGACACGCUACCUGUCACGUCACCUGGUCUUUUUAUUUCAUGGAAUUGACUUUUCAUCUCCGCUUGAGUCCAACUCUUCCUGACUCCCGUACAUUACGUCGUGGGUUCGAUGUCUAGCCAUCAGGCAGGCUGCCCAGAUCCAAUGGAAAGAUUUAUAAAAGCUUUCAUCAGAGGGAUCGGCCUGGCCCGCAACCAGGGUUGGUUACACGCAGACUGGAGUUUACUAGUUACUAGUCUUACUUUGUUGCUUUUAUAUUGGUUUUACAUAUAUUGAGUUUCAUAUGCUCUGUGAAGCCAAGACAAAUGUAUUUUUUGUGCAAAUACAAAUGUUGUUCUUCCUUUCUUUCGAUACAUCUGUCUUUAAUAUAGCUUUAAUGAAAAUAAUGUGCAAAUAUAUCCCAGCCCAUAUAUCCCAUAAUGUGCAAAUAUAGAUAUAUAUAUAUAUAUAUAUAUAUAUAUAUAUAUAUAUAUAUCUAUAUCUAUAUAUAUAUAUAUAUAUAUAUAUAUAUAUCUAUAUCUAUAUCUAUAUCUAUAUCUAUAUAUAUAUAUAUAUAUAUAUAUAUAUACGUAUAUAUAUAUAUAUACGUAUAUAUCCCAGCCACAAAGAGUUAAUCCCUACCCAGAUAAUCAUUGUGUGACCAGACAAGGGAAAAUCAAUGUCUCUCAGCAGGCGUUGGAGGCCGUGUCCAGAACCAGAGAAAUCAGAGCCGGUCCUCGCUGAGGGUCUCAGUACACUUCAUUACAGGACAAACUCGGGCUCUGAAUGGCGCCCAGACGAUGAAGGUCGAUGAGACGCCCUCGUGUUGUGGGUGGUGCGCAUGCCCCACCUAGGCAAACCUUCUCCUCCUCCUUCCUCUCUUCCUCCCUUCCUCCCAGAGAGACCGUCUUUACACUGUCAGCCAUUCCGCGCACAUGGAGUACUUCAAUCACCAAAAUUGUUCAUGUUUAUCGAAGCGAAAUGAAGUUUUGAUAAAUAAUGACAUGUCUGUUUAUGUGGAAGACGCAAAUGUGGGAGUCUAGUUAUUCUAGGCCGAUAAAUAAAUGUUACCAUUGUACUAAAGUAGGUGUAAAGUUUGAUAUUUGCUCAGCGCAUUUCUUUAUGUGAACGCCACAUCAAUCUCCUUAUGUCGUCAAACCUUAUUUUUCCCCGUAAAACAUUUAACUUCACCACUGUCCUUGUACAAUAAAUAAUAAAAAUAUUUUAAUGCACAAACGCAUAUUUCCGAAGUUUGCCCAUUUACAUGAGAGUUCCCAAGUUCCAACAUGGCGUGACACGCCCUAACGCAGUGUACGGCCAACCUCUGUCUUCUUUCCCAGCAUGCUCUCUGGCUGAUUAUACGAGCGUCCUAUAGCCCAUUACCCUGCUCCUCCCUUCCUCCCCCACCCUACCUGGAUGGUCAUCCUUCGCUAGCUAGCUAGUCCUCCCCUCCCUGGUGCUGGCUGCCGCUAGCCGCCAGGCUACGCUAGUUGUUAACCCAACAGUAGCAAACACGCGGUGAAGCCGCGCGCUUUACGACGCUACUCUGCGUUAGCGAGCCAGUGCUAGCCCGCGGCUACGCCGUGGCGCAAAGGGGAGUGAUAUAAACGCAAAGGGCCGAUAGUAAAUGUGUGACAUAAAGUCUUUAUGCUGAAAUGGGGAGAUAUGCAUCAUUAGUUAAUAAGGCUGCGGCAUCAGUUGUGGAGAGGGGCCGGUAAAAGAAAUGCUGCGGGGUAUUACAGUCGUGUUGUAAACUUUAUUCCGCGUAUAAAGAAUAACUCGGUGUUGAGCUGUCAAACAUACUGGGAGAUUAAAUCCCAUACUGGAAAAUUGUGGCUUCCUGUCAGUCGUGUCGCCUUAGUAUAUAUAUAUAUAUAUAUAUAUAUAUAUAUAUAUAUAUACACAGUAUAAUGGGUUUGUGGUGAUUGAAAGAAAACUUCUUCACAUUUGUACAUUCUACACACACACACACACACACACACACACACACACACACACACACACACACACACACACACACACACACACACACACACACACACACACACAGGCACAGUCCACGCACCACACUAACCCAAACACCCUAUGAACAUUACAUACACAUUUUUACAUUUGAAAGCUUUCCUUUUUGAUCAAGCAUAAGCUAGUUCACAAUAGCAUGCAGAAUGAGAGAGUGCCUCCCUCCAUCACUCAAUCACACACACAACCACGCACAGUCACACACACACACACACACACACACACACACACUUCGGCCCGGCCUAAGCUGUUAGUUAGAGCUCAGACCGUCCAUUAGCUGAGUUCUUUUCCUGUUUCCGACAUAAUGAAGCAGAACGCUAGAAGAAGGGAGAGAGAGAGUGCGAGCCUGCUGACCUGAUUAAUUAGCGAGAGGCGGGAGAGAGAGGAUGCAAGAGUGUGAGAGAGAGAGAAAAGAGUGAGCGAGAGGCAGCGAGAGAGAGAAAGAGAGGGGGUAGGUAUGAUAAAGACAGUGAUAAAGAUUGAUAAAGUGGAGAACGAAGAAAAAUCAGUAUGAGAGAGGAGAGAUGGAGGACAAAAUGACCUGAGAGAUGAAAGAAAGAGGGAUGAGCUGCUGGGUGUAAUAAAUGUGAUGUCAGCUUAUAAACGACUCGGCGCGAGGGCGUGGGCAAGAGGACGGGCUUGUAGCGCACGGCGUCAACACAUCCCGAUAAAACAGUGGAUGAUUCCAACCUCAAAAAACAACGAUCGUUCUAACCUUUCGAUUUUCCCUCUUCCUCCACCGUCUCCUUCUCUUAACCAACACCUCUUUGUCUCUUCGCUACGUCAGUAUUUUACUCUUUGAAAGACUUUUAAAGGCCUUUUAAAAAGCUGGUGGUAUAUAGCAGCCAUGGAAACCUUGGCUGGGCUCUCUCCAUCGCAGCAGGAGAUGAUUAAAGUUACGGUCCAGUUAACAGCUAGCUGGGACCCUCCAGCUCUCUGGCCCUCAGGUACACACAAACACACACACAUCCACGCCGCCUCCCACACACGCAUGCAAGCACACACAGCCACACACACCCUCUCCCUCUCUCUCUGACACACCCUCAAUCCCAAACACACACACACACACACGCACAAACACACACACACCCUCUCUAUCGCUCUCUCACACACAUAUACACACACACACACACACACACCCUCUCUAUCGCUCUCUCACACACGUAUACACACACACACACACACAAACACACACACACACACCCAAACACCCUAAUAAGGCCGCUCACCUGUGCAGGAGCAUGCAGAACGCAUUGGAGGAGCUGGGUUCUAGCUAAAGCCUGAGCACGCUCUGAGAGGCAGCAGCACGGCAGGACAGCCAGCUCGGCCGGCGGGCAGGCAGACAGAAAGACAGCCAGCAUGGGCAUUCAUUAAAAACCCCAGCACCGUGCAUAGGGACUAACAGGGCCAUAAAAGCAAUUAAUCUAGCCAUAAACAAGCCACUCGCCUGUCCCACACUCCCCUGCACAGAAACGACGGUGGCAGUGGGGAGGGAGGGGGGGAGGGGAGGAGGGGGGAGACAGGGGGAGGCUUGCUUUUCGUUUCCUCUUCUCUGGGCUUUGUAUUUCUUCUGAUUUCUCGCUGUUUCCUCCCUCUGUCUCGGGGCCUCUCAGGUACACCCCACAGAUGUUACCUUCCCAUGAAGAGUGAACAAGAGUCCUCUAAUGAUCAAGCACACAUGGAUGCAGAUGUGUGUGUGCGUGUGUGUGUAUGUGUGUGUGUGUAUGUGUGUGCGCGUUUGCGUGUGCGAGAGCUGCAGCCUCCGACCCAACAUGGCGGACGGUGAGG